UACAUAGAAGACUAGUGUUAUUCAUCGUUAAUAGGUUUAAAGGGUACGUAGACGGUAAUUCUAGCCCUAAAUAGGGUACAGUAUUUCUAGAGUUUUAUAAGAGGAGGGGAGUAUUCAUAGUGUAGAGAUAAAAUUUGUUGAUACUUUGACGACUGGUAAUGGCGAAAGCAACCUUCUAUUUAAAAACUGACGUUGAG
rnacentral:rRNA from 1 species